AAUGAAAAGAGACCCACUGCCCACGAACGCACGUCCCACACCCACCCGUCCUCCUCAUCUCCCGCACCCUUCGCUCCCGAUCCCGUCUCCCUCCUCAUCUCCCGCACCCCACCCCGUCGCUCCAGAUGCCGCCUCUCUCUCCGAUCCAGAGAAAAACCUUCUCCGGCUCCCCCCUCCUCGUCCGCCCCGCGGUCGCGGCCCUUGCCGUCGGCGGUAGGAGCCAGUCCCAUCGAUAAACUUUCCACUCCUCCCUCUUAUCUCCACCACUCUAGAUCACGUUCGUCCAUUGGCAAGCUUGGUGGCGGCGCAGAAGGAGAGCUCCUACGCACCACCGGUUCUUUACAGCCUAUGUGAACUGCAGCAGCACCAGGUCGACGCUGUCGUUGGUGUACGACGCCUUUGUCUGCGUUGCCGGGGGUGGUCGUACUACAGGCUGUCCAACGGUACGUCGGUGCCGGAGGACGUACUGGGCCUGGGAGUGGUGUGCAGGUGCUGCUCGAUUUUGGUUGUUCCGUAUGCUGGCCGCCGGGAACGCCGUCAGGGCGGGGUUCUAGGUGCGACGGAAGGCCGACGCCAGGUGGUGCGGCGAGUGCUAGGCCUCCGGAGGGCGCUGCGGGUAUGACACGGGGGCGUCGGAUGAUCACACAUGCUUCUGCUUCGGCGGUCAGGCUAGCGGGUCGUGUUCUACUUCUUCGUCAAGUUCAGUUACCCAAUAGUUGAUCUGAGAGGUAAUUGGUUGGUCAGUGAUGUUUGAUUAAUCUAAGCAACCUUGAGAUGUGCGAUGGGCGAACGUGAGCGGCGGCCAACGGCAGACAUGGACUCAAGCCAACACAGGUACACGGCGGAGCAACUCACCUGCUGGUCUCCACUUCGCAGGUGGCAAGCAGGCAACAGCUGCCACCAAGCACAUGGAAUUUUUGGUGGUCAACCCAUCAGCCAAUGCCCUCAUGAUCUGCGCUUGGUGUACUUACACUUUUUUUGGGACUAAGGCAGUAGUGCGGCUUUAAUGAGAAGAUUUACAGAAUCUGGUGGUGCUUACAUUUUGAUCUAUGCAUCUUUUCCCAGAUUUGAAUAACUGUGAGUUUGUGACCAUCGCCCUUGGCAUCUUUUAUGAUGUAUUUUUUGUGUGUUAGGUCAAGCAGUUCCUGUGAAAUGACUUUGGGAAUGGGGUGGUUCACUGGGGUAAUUAGCGGUACCACCACAUGCUGACAUGGAUUGUACGAGAUUGUUUCUAGGUGGCUGCUGAUGAAUCAUGUGAGGAUGGCGUAGAACUCACCAGAGGGAAAAUAACAAACUGUGGGAACCAAAUCAAACAACUGAGAAGGUAAAAUUAGGGAAGGAUUAGCGGUCCAGUGUUUCAGUAAUUUCUGGAGUGGUUGAAUUGGUCGAACAAACUUCAUAUCAAACUACCUCAGCUAAUCCCCCCAUGUAUACUGAUGUAAAUGCAUGUUUAAGGCGAACAAUUUAUCAGGUGUGGGGUUGUGAUGGUUCUGGUGGGUGGCUGCAGCUAUGAGGCCGAGCUAAUCGAGUUGUCUAUGCACGACAAUAUUUUACACGUCAUAAGUCCUUGUGAUGAGGGUCUAUAGUACAUAGGUUGGGCAGGUCCCGAUGGAUUGAAAAGGUUCUUCGCUCAACUGGAUUGUAGGUUGCUUUCCGUGCUCUCGUAGCCUUGUCUGCUGAGUACUUUUCGUCUGCUGCUCUACUUACCAAGGUUUGUGCUUGCCCACCCGAAUACCCUAUUACUCCCAAUCUUUCUGUUUCAGUUUUGCUUCUUGAUUUAUUUUCCUGCUUGCAUAUAUAUCAUCUAUCUCACUUCAGUUUCAGGUUCUCUGGCUGCUACACUGAACAUGUGUAUUUCACACUACUCACUCUUUGUUGUGCCUACUUCAGUUUUGCAUGUUUAAAUAUUUGUGGUUUGGUCAUGUGUAUCACAUAUCUUUCAGCAUUUGAGUUUCACAGUUUUCAAUGUUUUGUUGGCCACGUGUAUCACUAAUGACACUUAUGCAAGUGCUUAUUUUGAUUUUAUUUUUUGGUAUGUUUUACUGGUGACAUAUAUUUCACAUAUCUCACUUAGUUCAGUGCCUGCCACAUAAUUACUACUCCCUCCGUCCCAUAAUAUAAGAGCGUUUUUGACACUAGUGUAGUGUAAAAAACGCUCUUAUAUUAUGGGACGGAGGGAGUAUUUGUGAUUUUGGUAUGUACUAGCUUUGAUUUGGCUGGUUUCAAGUGAGGAACAUGAGUGGGCUGAUGUAUUAGGCAUGCCCAUGGGAAGGCAGUGUUUUCUAUGGUAGAAUUAGUAUGGUGAUAUACUGCACAUACUCAAGCCAUAAAUGCUUCCACGAUAGUGUGGCAUAUUCUCUGACUUCAUUCCUGUGUGUUCUGGAAGAGGAAAAACAAUUAUGUUUGUCUCCCGCCGUGUUCUGGAAGAGGAAUAAGUAUUCCAACACUGAUAGCUCAGUUAGUGUGAUAUGGAGAUGGUUUAUUCCAUGGAAGAGUAGUCACCACUUUUUGUGAAGAUAAUUCCCGAGACUCAAGACAUUGGUCAUGUUAAAGCUUUAGGUGCUUGGAGAUUAUUUGCUGACAAAUCUACUAUUGUUUCCUUCUAACUAUCUGCUGCCAUUUCUCAUUAUAUCGUUCUAAUAUAUCUACCAAAAAGGAUUUGAGAAUGCUUGCUUAUUUAUUAAGAAUUUCCUCUUUCUUUGACUGGAGCUUUUUUAGUUCAUGGUUGAUGUCAAUUUCAUACUAUUAGGUGGUUGUCGAUAGUGUAUGUUAAGAUGGAAACAUUUUGCCACCAGGUAGCGUGAUGGCGUAGUCAAUUUUCUAUCUGAUUAUGAUCUUAUUUUACAGGGUUAUAGUGCAAAUAAACCAUACAACCAAAUGAUUGUUCCAAAAAUUCAAAUUUGCCUUUGCACAUGUACAGGAGCAUCAUGGAUUGUUUAGUCUUGGAGUUCCAAAAAAAUGGUUAACCUGUGUACUACAGAGGUAAUGGAACACCUACUUUCACCUAUAUGGGUUUAAUGAUAGAUAACUAUUACAAUAGAUGGAGCACCUACUUUCAACUAUAUGGGUUUAAUUAUAGAUAACUGUUACAAUAGUUUUGCCAUGUUUGACAUUGCAUAAAUAUGCUUGGAAUAUCAUAUAUCAGGUAAACCUUGAAAACAAGAGAAAUGGUGGUAUUCUCUACACUAGGUUUCAAUUUACUGAAAAAUGCACUCUUCAUUUACUGAGUUUUAUGUUUGCUCUUGCUAUCUGCCAGCUCCAUGAUACAACGGUUUGGAAAAAAUUAUCGAAUCACGAUGAUGUGUGAUGAGUAGCAAGGUGAUGAUCCAUAAAGCCCUACGAUGUUCUUUUGCUCACCAGUGAGUUUACUACUUUCUGGUUGCAUGUCCAGUCGCCGAGCCGACAUUUUUUUGCAAAUUGAUGUAGGAUUAGUUGCUGCAUUGCUUAGCUGGGCUCUGGAGCAGCGAGUAACUUAGCUGAUGCGACAAUAGCUUCUUGAUGUGUAAUGCAUAUAAUAUUCUUGCUAUAGUCUGGUCUGAGCUCAAUGUUUUGCAAAAUUCCAUGCAAAUGCAACAAAAGAUCUAGCUUUCUUAUAUUUGGUACUAUGCUUUAGUUACAAUGAUGCACAAAUGGAUUUGAGGACUAAAUGGAAACAUUGGAAGGAAGACAUAAUUAAAUGUACAUGCACUCUCUGUUCUUACAAAUCUAGCCUUGAUUUGAUACUGAUCUUUCAUCACUUCAUGCUAAUAUUUUGGGUAUAACAAUACAUAUAUACCCAUUCAGUGAUUUGGUUCCUCUUUACUGAACUUUUAUUCUUUCCUGCUCAUCUAUAUAGGUUAUGUUAUAAUUUGUACUCCCUCCGUUCCUAAAUAUAUGUCUUUGCCAGUUUUUUUCUUUUAUAGAAGGAAAAAUUUGGAUUUAAGCUACAAAUUGGCAAAGAUUAUUAUAAAUUAUAUGCACAUAUGUACAAAUACAUCGAUCCAUGGUGUAUGGUGAUCAAGAACAUAUACAAUCUUGGAAGUUAGUGCUAAUAUAUCUUGAUCAAAGAUAAAACAGUACGUGCUAUGAACAUGUUCUUGUGUUAAAUCUUAGUUGCAGUUCUCAGUAAUCAGCUAAUUUUAGUUUGUGAAAAGGUUUGAUUCAAAAAGAGACGUGUUUGAGAUUAAUUUAUUUGAAGGCACGAUUUGGAUUUAAGCUACAAAUUGGCAAAGAUUAUUAUAAAUUAUGCACAUAAAUAUACAAAUGCAUCGGUCCAUGGUGUAUGGUGAUCGAGAACAUAUACAAUCUUGGAAGUUAGUGCUAAUAUGUAUUGAUGAAAUAAUAACCAUCACCCAGAACAAUGUGAGCAUGUCAGGCUGUGUGUAUUUAGUAGGACGAAAAUAACCAGGCAGCUGUGAUCACUCGACUGAAUAUAGGAUAAAGGUAACCAGGCUGCUGCGAUCACUCGCCUGUGGCCAUCUCUUUCAAAAUAAAGUUUUCGACACCUGGAUGAGUUCACUAAUAUGGAAGACAUUUGUACUUUCGCCAUUGACAGCCCACUGAGCACACCUAUCAUGAAGAACUGCUUGGACGAUGAGGUGAUUUUCACUGACCAAACAUACAACGAUGACUCUACCUAAUGUCAAUGACUUGAUGUUUUGGUCCUAUCUACCGGCAGAAGAUAAAAAAAUCAACCACAAACUGGAAGACCAUGACUACCAUAUAGCUACUACAACUUGCUUUUUAAGACCAAUGUAAAUAAGCUGUGUGCAUAACUUUUUUGGGGGCUAUCAUGCUAUCCGCACUGCAAUAUAAACAACUAUGUUUGAAGAUACUAUCUAAGUAUCUAUUUCCUUAUGCUAAAGAGAUUUUAAUACAGUCUUCAGAUCA